CUUUUUGCCAGCCUCCAGCCCCGACUCUCGCAUUGACUCCAGAUAAGCCCCCGCUGGGGUUUAUUUUUGAGGGCGGGGGAGCCCAGUGGCUUAGAGUCCCUCCAGUCGGAUUUCCUCAGGGAAGUGUUCCCCCAGCGAAGGUCUCCCUAGGAGCAACCGGAGUUGCUUCUGGAGUGAAAGAAUUGGCCAUCUGCGAGGACAUUGCCCAGGGGACGCCCGGAUGUUUUGAUGUUUUUACCAUCCUUGUGGGAGGCUUCUCUCAUGUCCCCGCAUGGAGCUGGAGCUGAUAGAGGGAGCUCAUCCGCACUCUCCCCAGGUUGGAUUUGAACCUGGCAGCCUUCAGGUCAGCAACCCAACCUUCAAGUCACAAGGCUUUUAUCCCCUAGGCCACCGGAGGCUCCUAUAAAACAGUUUAAACUAUUAAAAUACAUUAUGAAUUAAAAAUAUACAUUUCAAACAUAAAAUCAGAUCCGUUCUUCCUCAUGCUUUGUCCAUAGUUCAGUCCGUGUCAUCUUCACCAUUUAUUGAUUAAAAGCCUGGGCACACAGCCAUGUUUUUAGGGCUUUUCUGAAGCUCAACAGGGUUGGAAUUUGACGCAUCUCUCUUGGGAGGGUGUUCCACAGCCGGGAAGCCACCAUUGAGAAGGCCCUGUCCCUCGUUCCCACCAGCCGUGCCUCCGAGGCAAGUGGGACUGAGAGCAGGGCCGCUCCAGAUGAUCUCAGGGAUCUUGCUGGCUCAUAGAAGGAGAUACAUUCGGACAAGUAGAUUGGGCCGGAACCGUUUAGGGCUUUAUAGGUCAAAACCAGCACUUUGAAUUGGGCUCAGUAGCAUAUUGGAAGCCAGUGGAGCUGGCUUAAGGGGGUGGUGCGCUCUCUGUAAGUUGCCCCAGUUAUUAAUCUGGCUGCCGCCUGUUGUACUAGUUGGAGCUUCCGGGCCGUCUUCAAAGGCAACCCCACGUAGAGGGCGUUGCAGUAGUCCAAACGGGAUGUAACCAGGGCAUGGACCACCUUGGCCAAGUCAGACCUCCUAAGGAACAGGCGCAGCUGGCGCACAAGUCUUAGUUGUGCAAAUGCUCCCCUGGCCACCGCUGAAACCUGGGGCUCCAGGCUCAGCGAUGAGUCCAGGAAAACACCCAGACUGCGAACUUGUGUCUUCAGGGGGAGUGCAACCCCAUCUAACACAGGCUGUAACCCUAUUCCCUGUUCAGCUCUAUGACUGACCAGGAGGACCUCUGUCUUGUCUGGAUUCAAUUUCAAUCUGUUCUCCCUCAUCCAGUCCGACACAGCAGCCAGACACCGGUUCAGGACCUGAACAGCCUCCUUAGUGACAGGUGGAAAGGAGUGACAGAGCUGGACAUCAUCUGCGUACAGAUGACACUGCACUCCGAAACUCUGGAUGAUCUCUCCCAGCGGCUUCAUGUAUAUGUUGAACAACAUGGGGGACAGUACUGACCCCUCUGGCACCUCACAAGACAACGGUUGAGGGGACGAGCAGGUGUCCUCCAAUGACACCAUCUGGGAACGCCCCUCCAGGAAGGACCACUGCUUUGCAGUGCCUCCAAGCCCUAUCCCAGCGAGGCGCCCCAGAAGGAUACCGUGAUCAACGGUAUCGAAGGCUGCUGAGAGGUCCAGCAGAACCAGCAGGGACACACUCCCCCUAUCCAGUUCCCGGCGUAGAUCAUUGACUAAGGUGACCAAGGCUGUCUCGGUACCAUGCCCCGGCCUGAAGCCAGACUCAGAUAAGUGUUCCUUCCCUCAGGUAAGUGUUCCUUCAGGUAUGUGUUUCCUCUGGUAAGUGUUCAUCCAGCUAAGAUGAAGUUCAACAGGGACAAAUACAAGAUACUUCAUCUUGGCAGAAAAAAUGAAAUGCAAAGAUACAGAACGGGGGACGAUGCCUGUCUCGACAGCAGUACGUGUGAAAAAGACCUUGGAGUUCUUGUGAACAAGUUAAACAUGAGCCUACAAUGUAAUGUGGCAGUGAAAAAGCUAAUUGGGAUUCUGGUCUGCAUAAAUAGGGGUAUAGCGUUUAAAUCCAGGGAAGUCAUGCUACCCCUCUAUUCUGCCUUGGUCAGACCACACCUAGAAUACUGUGUUCAUUUCUGGGCACCACAGUUGAAGGAAGAUGUUGACAAGCUGGAAAGCGUCCAGGAGGGCGACUAAAAUGAUCAAGGGUCUGGAGAACAAACCCUAUGAGGAGCGGCUUAAAGAGCUGGGUAUGUUUAGCCUGCAGAAGAGAAGGCUGAGAGGAGACAUGAUAGCCAUAUACAAAUAUGUGAGGGGAAAUCAUAAGGAGGAAGGAGCAAGCUUGUUUUCUGCUGCCCUGGAGACUAGGACACGGAACAAUGGCUUUAAACUACAGGAAAGGAGAUUCCACCUGAACGUCAGGAAGAACUUCCUCACUGUGAGAGCUGUUCGGCAGUGGAACUCUCUGCCCCAGGGUAUGGUGGAGGCUCCUUCUUUGAAGGCUUUUAAGCAGAGGUUGGAUGGCCAUCUGUCGGGGGUACUUUGAAUGAGAUUUUCCUGCUUCUUGCAGGGGGUUGGACUGGAUGACCUGUGAGGUCUCUUCCUACUCUAUGAUUCUAUUAUUCUAUGAUUCUAAGAUUCCCUCAGGGAAGUGUUCCUCCAGGCAAGUGUUCCUUCAGAUACAAUUGUGGUGCAGGUUUCCUUAGGUAAGUGUUUCCUUGUGUAAGAUUCCCUCAGGUAAAUGUUCCCCCUGGUAAGUGUUCCCCCAGCUAAGAUUCCUUCAGGGAAGUGUGGCACAGGUUCCCUCAGGGAAGUGUUCCUCCAGUUAAAUGUUCCUUCAGAUACAGUUCCUUCAGGUGGGUUGAAUUGCAACUCCCAGCAACCCCAGUUAGCAUAACCAAUGAUUGGGAAUGAAGGCAGCUGCACAAUUCCCACCCUUGAUUUAGGCCCAUUGAUCUGUGUAUUUUUGUGGAUGUUAAAGAUGUUAUUAUAUGAACACCCAGGCAGUUUUUAAUUAGCUAAUUUUGUGGAAGGUUUUUUCAGUGGUAUGUCCUGCCUUUUUGUACUUAUUCUUACCCUUUUCAGUACUUUUAUACUGCUUUAAAUUAGUGUUUUAGUACUACAUGUAAUUGUGACCAGAUCCUAUCUGAUCUUGUAAGGUCAGCCUUGGUUAGUUCUUGGAUGGGAGACUGUCAAUAAAUACCAGGUGCUAUAUUUUAGAGGAAGGGACUGGUAACAGUGCCUCUUAAGUAAUUCCUUGUCUUAAAAAAACUCUAUGAAAUUCAUGGUGUCAUCAUAAGUCAGCAAGCAACUUAAAGGCAGAUAUAUAUUUAAUUGCUUUGUAAACUUAUUUUCAUUGGUUUCUGAACUUUGCUUUUGUAUCUAUGCUAUGAGAUUCCAUGUUGAAAGAAAGGCAGGAUAUAUAUUAAAUAAAUACAUAACAUAUAAAAUGUCUGUGGGACUCUGCUUUGGAAAACCAACCUGACCCUUGCACCAUAUUGCCCCACCUCUGGCUGAAAGGUAAUUAACAAACUGGUUGCGCCAGUUUUUGAAAUAUGGGCACCAGCCCCAGUCAGCAGAACCUGGACAUGCUGCUGCUUUAGAGAAGAAGUCCCAGAAUCCCCCAUGCUGGCUGGGGGAUUCUAGGAGUUAUUCACAACAAAAGUGACUCCUUUCAAGCUCUGUGUCUAAGUGUUGUUCUUUUCUCCCUUUCCAGAACUGCACAAUGAAAGCAAGCCUUCACAUUUCACAGCUGAAAAUAGGGAGCCCUGGGAUAUUUGCAUAAAUAUUUUGUUUUCACAGCAAAGAUUGCUGUCCAGGUGCCCCUCUUCCCCACUUCCCUCAGUCUAGGAUAUUGCUGUUCUUUUCCAGCAAUUAUACACUAAACUAACCACAACCUUCUACAUUUAUUUACUUUAGGAAGGAUGUAGAAGAGGAUAUUGUAAUCUCAAAACUGAUCUCGAUGUACGUCUAGGAGAGCUGCCAUUUAAAACACGUUUGGCAGCAUUUACUCUCCAGAUAGGCAGCUGUGGCUGACGAGAGCAGGGAGGAUAGUGCUAGACUACCUUCCUAUGUGUGCUUUACAUGUGCAUAUCCCAGUCAAGGUCAGCUAAUACCAAAUUCUGUAGGCUUUAUUCAGAAUAAGAAACUAGCUAACCCACCUCUGAAUAUUUCUUGUCUAGGAAAACUAUGAAAUUCAUGGGGUCACCACAAGCCAACAGGUAACUUGAAGGCACAUACACAUUUUGGGGCCCAUUUCUUUUGCCUUUGGUUUUACCCACAAUGAAAUGAGAACAAUGAGAACCUCUCUGAAAUUUCCUGGUAUCAGGGAGAAUUGCCUAUAUUAUUGUCCAUAGCAUUCUUUCCAUUUUUGGUGCAGGACUUUACAGACGCUGAGAGGAAAUGAAGAGCAUGCCUCAUGUUGAUAACAAUAGGCUGGCCUAGGGCAUACUCACCUGACACCUCUGUUUCUCAGGAAAUUCAGGAAUGGACUGGGAAGCAUGAACAGCAAAAUACACUUUUUUGUCUUUAGUACUGAGAUCCAAGCCAGCAAUGUCCCAAUGACUGUGGCAUCAAUUUAACCAUUGGCCAUCUGGCCCUGCUGAGUUUUCUACUCCACAGCUGUGCUUGAAAUCAGGAUAGUAACCAUUUCUCUGCUCAUGCCUAUAUUCUCUUGGGUAUAAUAGGCCUGGAUCUGGUAUGCCAACUAUAGAUCAGGACAUCCAUUCCUCUCUCCUUCUCACACCAUUCUCUUCUCACACCAUUCCUCCUAAUCCAGCAGGCACCCAAGAUAUGAACUGGUUGUUUGUAAAGGGCUUUUGAAAUGAGCAUACAAUGGUCGGGCUACAAUUUGCCCGCCCUGGCCCAAGUUCUGUGCCAGUAUGAGGUAGCAGUCAACUCUGUUCUUCUUUCACUGGGGAAAUUUAAUGUGAUCCUAUCUUGUUGGUUUAUUCUGUGACAGAGGAUAGAGGAGGGCUUUAUGUUCCACUAUGCCAGCAACAGUGAUAGAUGGAUUUCACAUUUAUUAGUGGGUAGAUUUUUCCAUUCUGACACAGUUAAAGUAAACAUCCCUAACCAUUCCUUUAUCUCUUUCUCUUACUGUAUGUGCCUGUGUGAAUAUAUAUGGCACAUGUACGCUAGCAAAGUGAGAGUCAGGGAGAUCAUCUGCAAUAGGUCAUUACAGUGGAAAUGGAAUCAGCUUGAGAGACUGUGAGGUGUGAAAAUCACACUCUAUUCCAUAUGGCAGGAAGCACAGUAUAGAAGAGGGCAGUUGCUGAAAGCACAGAACUGCUGGAGAAAAUUGCACAUUUUACUAUUUAUUUAUUACAGUGUUUCAUGAGUCUUCCCGAACUGCUGGUGUGGAGGGAAAACAUGAUACUCAUGAAAUCUAGAUGACAAUUUUUUGGACAAAGGCCAAUGAAAGAUCAGUGUCUGCUUAAAAAUUAAGUAGAAAACUUCUUUUCCAAAAGGUAAACUGUCUCUCAUAACACAUCCAAUGUGGAUUUUCCCUAUUUUCCUUAGGUGGUGAGAUACAACUCCAGACUCCCUGCCCAUGUUCUCAUUCAAGGACACAGAUCUUCCAUCUAUUAAGCAAUCACCGAUUAGCCAUUCAACAACCCCAUUAAAAUUGCAAAUUCAGAUCCAGACUGCCAUCUUGGUCAUAGUAAAAAUGGAUUCACUAAGGACUUUUAUCACACCAACUGAUUGUCUCAUCAUAAUUACAUUUUUAAGCAAAUGGAAAUGGAUGGAAAUGGAACAUGAUCACUUUCACAUUUUGAUGCAAUUGUGCAAGGCUGGAUCUGUUGUUGAUGUGAAUUCUUGCAGUUAGGUCUCCUGUACAGUCUCACUUCCCAUCUGUACUUUCUGUAUCCAACACAUCUACCUUAUUUUUUCACUUAUUUUCAACUAUUUUGUCAGUACUAUGCAGUUGCAUUGCACCUCCACUUUGCAUUACUGGGGCUGCAGUGGAAGUACGUGCAAAAGUUGUAGAACAACAGCAAUAUUGGAUUCAUUGAUGGUUUUUUCCCCAUCAAUAAAAGAAAUGAUCCAACUGCAAUCAAGUACGGUACAACCAUGGAACAACCAGGAUGUUGUGUCGAAAACCCUUCAACAGGUGCUUUUAUCCUGCUGUAAUUGCACUAGAGCAGAGCUUUCCAGACAUUUUAUGCUGAUGACAUUUUUAGAUACACAUCAUUUUGUGACCCAAUAAUUAAGUUUUACUAGCAAACUGGAAGAUAAACCAAUCCCUUAUAAGAGGUACAGAUACAUACAUUGUAAUAAUAAAAUGUAUGGGGAUGCAACAUAUCUCAUUAAAAUCUUUCAUUUAGGUAUUUUAAAAUAUAUGCUUAUUUCACAUAGUCAGAGGUCUCUCAUUACAUUUGCACAACACCUACACAUUGCAGCCAACACGCUAACGUGUCAUGUCACACAAUUUGGAAAGCUCUGCAUUAAAGAGAGGCACCAGCAAUUCAAAGACAAAUAAUGAUGCUCAGAUUCAUGUCUGUAAAAAGAAACCUGUUAUCCCAAAGGAAAAGUAGAGAUGCAUUAUUUAAAUGUGUCACUCCUAUAUCUAUAUAAUAUGAGCUCUUUAACAUUGAAGACAUUAACAUUUUCAUAUAGAGCACAUUUCCAGCAUUAUCUCAUUACUACAACUACAUUUAUUUAUUUAUUUAUUUAUUAUUUACAGUAUUUAUAUUCCGCCCUUCUCACCCCGAAGGGGACUCAGGGCGGAUCACAUUAUAACACACAUAGGGCAAACAUUCAAUGCCCAUAAACACAUCAAACAGAGACUGAGAGACACACGCAGAGGCAAGUUAACCUUCUUCUGAGGGGAUGUUCGAUUCUGGCCACAGAGGGAAGCAGCUGCUUCAUCAUCCGCACUGACGGCACUUCCUCAUUCCAGGUCGUAAAUUAGUUAAUCUUGCCUCCCCACUUUAUAAGUGGUACCUUAUCUCCUACUUGAUAGAUGCAACUAUCUUUCGGGUUGCUAGGUCAGCAACGAGCAGGGGCUAUUUUUUAUUUUUAAUUGACGGGUGCUCACCCCGCCACGGGCUGGCCUCGAACUCAUGACCUCAUGGUCAGAGUGAUUUAAGGCAGCUGCGCCACAACCCUGAGUUUGAUUAGUAUGGUUGUUCCAUUCUCCAGAGAGGAUAUUGGCAUAUUGGGGCAGUGGCAGACUAUGCAAUUGGGGGAUUCUAAGAUUUUAAUUUUGUGGACUUUCCAUCCUUGGAAAAAACUAAACCAUGAUUUGAAACGAUGCUGUGGUUUUUAACUUUGAAUUUGAAUGGUUUUUAACUGGGAAUUUUUAAAUACUGUUUAUAUUGAAUCCUGUUUCAAUGUUCUCAUAUUUGUAUAUUUUAAAUUGUAAUGCUGAUGCUUUUAUGUUAAGCUGCUUUGAGUUGCCUUCAUGGGAUAUAAAGCAAGGUAUAAAUAAAUAUAAUGAUAUUCAUACAUGCAUACAGUACAUGCACCUCUUACAAUGGAAUACACAGGUACUCUUUUAGAAAAAAAGUUGGGAAAUAAAAGGCAUAAUGAGCAUGCAUAGAAUACCAUGGUUUGCAGGCUCUGUACUCUUGCAUUGUAAGAGCAAUAAGGAUAUUGAGGACAAUUUGGAGAGGGUAGACUAAAAUGAGUACUGCAGUGGAAGCAGAGAAAGGCCAUUUUAAAGCAGGGUUUAUGUAGGAGAGAGAGAAAAGCAGAGAUGAGGAGGAAAAAGCUCUUGGGGACUAGAGGGCUUAGUUCUGAACAAAUGCUGUGGUGGAUUUUAAAAACUAGUAAAAAAUGCAUGUGGCAAAGGAAACGAAAGUACAGUCAGCCCUCCACUUUUGCUGUGGUUAGAGGCUCAAAGUCCCUGCAAAAUGGGAAAACGGAGUAAAAUACUCUAUUUUAUAUUAGGGCCCUUCCACACAGCCAUAUAGCCCAGACUAUCAAGGCAGAAAAUCCCACAAUACCUGCUUUGAACUGGGUUAUCUGCGUGCACACUUCCAUAAAUUCCAGUUCAAAGCAGAUAAUGUGGGAUUUUAUUCUGCUGUGUGGAAGGCGCCUUAGAGAACAUCUCUAGGAAUUUCUAGUCCCUCGAGCACAACUCUGCCGGAAGAUGACCACAGAAUCACACUGGAAGACUGACAAAUGCCUAGAAAAGUGUUCUUUCUGGGAACCUCAAAAUCCUCCAGUGCAACUCUAUGGUAGAGGCUGGCCAUAGAGUCACGCUGGAGAACCUAGAAAGAACGUACAGUAGAGUCUCACCUAUCCAAGCUAAACGGGCCGGCAGAAGCUUGGAUAAGCGAAUAACUUGGAUAAUAAGGAGGGAUUAAGGAAAAGCCUAUUAAACAUCAAAUUAGGUUAUGAUUUUACAAAUUAAGCACCAAAACUUCAUGUUAUACAACAAAUUUGACAGAAAAAGUAGUUCAAUACGCAGUAAUGUUAUGUUGUAAUUACUGUAUUUACGAAUUUAGCACCAAAAUAUCACGAUAUAUUGAAAACAUUGACUACAAAAAUGGCUUGGAUUAUCCAGAAGCUUGGAUAAGCGAGGCUUGGAUUAGUGAGACUCUACUGUACUAAUGAGAUAUGCAAAUAAUCUGAUCUGAAAAAGUGAGAUCCGUAAAUGUGGAGGGCCAACUGUAUUUGUCUGGAGGUGGGAUAAUGGAUUUUGAGCUUGGAGGAAGCUGGGUACAUUUUCUGUUAAAUAAAAGUGAAAACCAAUAUUGUAGCUUUAGAUUGUUUACUUAACUUGUUCCAUUUUCCCCCCAUAAAAUUUCAGAUUAGGGAGUUCAAGGCAAAUUCUCUGUAAGCAAAACUGUUUUAGAUGAACUGAAGCGUAAGAACAUUCAUUUCUUCCCCUUCACUAAAAAUGCAAUCUAAUAGAACUUUAGGGUUGGGAAAUCAAUUUUUCAGAAAAAGAAAUCAAUGUUAAAAGUUCAGCCUUCAUCUUGUUCUUUUAUGCAUUAAAAUAUCAUCUCUGUUAUACGACCAUAAAUUACCCAAUAUGGCUAUGGAAUAUAUCAUGUAACAUAAUAUCCUUAUAUUAACAAAACAAGAUGUCUCACCAACUUGAAUGUCAAGGCUGAUUAAAGAUAUAAAUCAAAAGUAAAGGAAAAUGACGAUAAAUCUCCAAGGCUCAGCCAAAACAUAGAAGAAUUGCUUUUUUGGGGACAGACCUUGGUAGCUGGGGGAUUCUGGGAAAUGCAAUCCAAAAUGUUUCAGUCCAAAAGAGUAACUUUUCCGAGUUUGGGGCUCACCAAACUAGUGUACACAGUUUCCCUAUUUCUACCUUUCUGUUCCAAACCUGGAAAAAAAACCAACUUAACUUCUAAUUUGUAUGCCAGACUAGCAGGUGCACUGCAUUCUGGUUGCAGCUGUGUUUUUCUUUCUUUCUGAUUGAAGUAGGCAAAAUAUCUGGCCAAAACAGAUGAAAUUAGUGGUUUGGUUCAAACUGUAAGUCACUAGCCAGUCCUUCAAAUGUUUAUUUUAUUGUUUCUUCUUCCACAUUUGUUGUUGUUGUUGUUGUUGUUGUUGUAUGCCUUCAAGUUGACUCUUGAAUUACAACAACCUGAUUAUAUGGUGGGGGGCGGGUGACAAGGUUUCUUCAAAGGAGAUUUGCCAUUGCCUUCCUCUGAGGCUGAAGGAAUGUGACUUCCCCAGCUUCACCCAGUUGGUUUCCAUGGCUGAACAACAAUUUGAACCCUUGUUUUCCAGAGUCCCUAUUCAACAUUCAAACCACAACAAUACAUGGGCUCUCUAUAACUUUAGCAAAUAUAGGCAAAUUUGCUAUUACUUCUAUGUUGCCAGAGUUGUCUUCUCUUGGCCAUUACUUCUUUAACCUAAAAUGUGGUGCCAGAGUUGUUUGCUCUUUCCCCUGUCUCUGCUUUGUUGUUUAUGCCAUCUUAUGUAAGGGAUUUUGGAGUCAUCUUCUUUUUCUCUUGCCUGCAAUAAACAGACACAGAUUAUUACAGCAGAAUUUACCUAGUUCAAGCUUUAUUACAUUGUUUUAAUGCAAACAUGGCACUGCAAUUGGAUGCUGAAAAACCGGAUUUCUUUAGCCAGUUCUCAUCAGCCCAAAAGUAACCAUCACCUAAUUUUCAGCUGCUCUGUAUUCUGCUGUUGAGGCUACUGUUUAAGUCAUCUUUUGAGUUGUUUAAAAGGGUCAUCAUGUGAUUUCCAGAUGGGGUGUUUAUCUGAAACAGCAUUUUAAAUUGUUUUAAAAUGAUAUUUUUUGCUUUUCCUUUUCUGCAUUCUCAUGUUAAGAGUUGCCACAGGAAGAUCAAAGAAGUUUCAUUUCAGACAUUUUUUGGGGAAGAACCUCACACUCUUUGUUCACCUAUUCUGCAUUUGGUCCUUUUUCCAAAUCAUAUGUAAACCCACUAAGUUAGGACUUUAUCACAAAGAGGAGGCAAACCAGCAUAGAAGCAGAACUAUCAUAAUGAGGCCUAUUGUCGGUUUGCCACCUCCCCACAACAAAGUGGCCAACAAAGUCCAGCUCUCUUUCUCUCCCUCACUCCCUCUUCCACUAAUCAAAGUUUUAAAUUAUAAUUUAACUUUGUGAAACUGUAAUGUUCCUUUAAUUUUUUUUAAAAAAUCCUUAUUGGUUUACAUAAUUGUGGAAGGAUGGAGCUCCCUCCUCAACAAGAAGCCCAGUCAUGCAAUCAUUGGGCGGUGAAGUGGUAAAGUAGUGGUACGAUGGAAUCAUGUGACAACAAAGAUCACCAUCCCAGUAAGUUCCUAGGAUCACUGUAUGAAUGCUGCAGGAAGAUGGCUUUGUGCAACAAUACCCUUAGGCUGCUGCAGUUGGCUAUUAAAACCAAUGAGUUGUGAUUAGCAAACUAUACACAAUUGCUAUCUAAGUUAUAGAAUCUUUUGGCAGAGCCAUUGAUCAAAUAAUUCAUAGUCCAACACUCAAUGCACUAUACCACUAGUCCAACACUCAAUCCACUAUACCACUAGUCCAACACUCAAUCCACUAUACCAUUCCCUUUUGCUUACAAAUGGUUAAAUAACAAUAGAAUACACUUUUUGGCACACUGUGUUGCCAACAUUGUACAUGCAUUUUAAAUGCUCUAAAACAGGAGUAGAAAUUGUGUGGCUCUUCUGAUGUUGAGCUGCAAGUUCCAAUAUUUUUUACCACUAGCUGUGCUAGCAGUAGCAGUUCAAAAAUCUGAAAGACUGAAGUCCCCACUUUGUUCAUAAAUAAAGAGUGACUUAUAUAAGUCCUGAAUACAGCACGACAUAUUAAACCCAGGAAUAGACUUCCCCAAAUCGGUGAGCCCCAGAUGUCUGGGACUGCAAUUCCUACAAUGAAGUUGUAGUCUAAUUACAUCUAGUGGGCACCAGACUGGUCAGUAUGAAUAUUGGUUGGAAGAUUUUGCUGAAAGCAAGUUGCUGGUACAAUAUUGCCAUAACAGAUGGUUUAGAUCUCUACUUGGGCCCUUAAUAAUACCGGAUGUCAAAUAUUUAUUCACAGAUCACCAACAGGAAGCCUCUGCAGGUUGUUAGUGUUAACCCAGUGGAGUCUGACAUCUGCAAGAUUUUCACCCUCAUAGGCAAAGCAUUGAAUUUAUUUUGCAGUUGGCGUUGUGUCCAGAGUUCCUUAGCAAAAGAGCAACAGUUAAGCCAGGGGGAGACUCAUGUGGCCUUUCAGAUGCUGUUGGAUUGCUGUUCCUAGCAUUCCUCAUCGUGAGUGUGCUGGCUGGGGAUUCUGGGAGUUGUGUCAAGGGUUACAUAAUUCACAUCACGGAUACAGCUCAUCUUCAUCAGGAAUGGUCUUUCCCAAGAUGGCUAUGUUGCCUUCCCCAUGACUCCAUUAUCCUUCUUAGACCCCUUCUACAUUAUCAUAUAAAAUCCAGUUUAUUUACUUUGAACUGGAUUAUCUGGCUGUGUAGACUCAGAUAAUCCAGUUCAAAGCAGAUAAUGUGGAAUAGAAAAAAGGUAAAGGUUUUCCCCUGACGUUAAGUCCAGUUGUGACCGACUCUGGGGGUUGGUGUUCAUCUCCAUUUCUAAGCCGAAGAGCUGGUGUUGUCUGUAGACACCUCCAAGGUCAUGUGGCCGGCAUGACUGCAUGGAGCGCCGUUACCUUCCCGCUGGAGCGGUACCUAUUGAUCUACUCACAUUUGCAUGUUUUCAAACUGCUAGGUUGGCAGGAGCUGGGGCUAACAGUGGGCGCAAAUUCAGCAGCUCAGCGCUUUAACACACUGUGCCACCAGGGGCCCCAUAAUGUGGAAUAUCUGCCUUGAUGUCCUGGAUUAUAUAGCAGUGUAGAAGGACUCUUAAACUUUUUUCAUUUGCCACCCCUUUCCACUUGAGAAUGUUUUACAUGACUUCAUAUCUAUCUAUCUAUCUAUCUAUCUAUCUAUCUAUUUAUACGUAAAAGUGAAAACAUGUACAGUAGAGUCUCACGUAUCCAACACUCGCUUAUCCAACGUUCUGGAUUAUCCAACGCUUUUUUGUAGUCAAUGUUUUCAGUACAUCAUGAUAUUUUGGUGCCAAGUUCGUAAAUACAGUAAUUUCUACAUAGCAUUAUUCUGUAUUGAACUACCUUUUCUGUCAAAUUUGUGGUAUAGCAUGAUGUUUUGGUGCUUAAUUUGUAAAACCAUAACUUAAUUUAAUGUUUAAUAGGCUUUUCCUUAAUCCCUCCUUAUUAUCCAACAUAUUCGCUUAUCCAACGUUCUGCCGGCCCAUUUAUGUUGGAUAAGUGAGACUCUACUGUAUGUGUUUUUGUACCACAGACACUUGUACAUGACUCAAUGGAUCUGGACCAAACUUGGUGCACAUACCCUUCGUUAUCCAACUUUAAAUACUGGUAGGGCUUCAACAAAAAAAAAAUCUUGGGACCUCAAAAAUGAAUAAAUAUGUGUUCAUGUGUAUGUAUGCUUGUAUGCAUGCAGCACUCGGAUGAAACCAGAAGAAGACAGAAUAUAGAUAGAAAGGCUAUUUCAAAGGGAGAGAUGACAAAUGGAAGAGGGCUAGAGUAUCAGAAGGGGGACACUCUAGGGCCACUUCUACACUGCCCCAUAUCCUAGGAUCUGAUCUCAGAUUAUCUCCUUAUCCCAGAUUAUCUGGCAGUGUAGACUCAUAUAAUCCAGUUCAAAGCAGAUUAUCUGUGAUCAGAUCCUGGGAUAUAGGACAGUGUUGAUCCAGCCUUGGAGUCCCUUUUAGAGAGCCAGAGUGUUCUCAUGGAGACAUUCUAAGGGAGGUUUUCUCAAAGGGCUAGGCAAAAAUGCAAGUGAGCUGGAGAAGGGAGAAAAGAGUCCAUAAGAUGACAAAAUGUGUUUUAACAGACUCCUAUAUUCAGAGAAGUGUAUUUGAGAAAAGAACUAACCUGAGUGUAUUGUCCAGGUAUGCAUUUUCUAAAAGGAGCAUUCAUAAAAUCAUAAAUCUAACAAUGAUUAUUUCUCAGAAAUAGCAUUAGGAAAUCUAUACCCAGGCUAUGUUAGUAAGUAUAUAAAAUAGGUAUAAAAAUUAAAGUUUUAUUGAUAAUAGCUCAACAUUUGCAAGGCUUGCUAAAUAAGCUGGUUUUCCUUUUUAUGAAGAACAGCUGACGUUUUCUUCUGCAGAGUCCACUGUAAACACAGUUUUGAGUAAAUGUAUAGAUGGCGUUCAGAAACAUUUUACUAUUGCUAAUUUUUUGUGACCCCAACAUUGAGCUUAGGGGACCCCAUUUGGGAUUCAGACCCACAGUUUAAGAAGCAGUGUCCUAGACUGUAUUCACCCUCCUCUCCUUCAGGAAAUGUUGGCAUGGCUUUUCCAAGAAGUGUUCUGUAAGGACUAGGGUUGUCCAAAAAUUGUUAUGAUUCUUAUUUCGGAAUUGUUUCGGAAUGUUCUCGCUUUUUGAACCGAGUAUUGAAACGUUGUCCCUGGGCGCAACUGGCAAUGUAAUUCGAACCAUCGUUGGCCCAUUCUCUAAUUGUGUCUUAAUGUUUCGUGAAAUUUUUUCCUCCAAAUUUUUUUUAAUAUAUUUUUAAAAAUAUUUUUUAAUUUUUUGUUUUGUUUCUGCAACCUAACUUGAAUGGGAGCCUAACGCAGCCUAAAAUGGCCACCGCUCCCUGGCCAAUCAGAGACUUCCACGAUGGCUGGAAAAGGUGGGGGCUAGCGUCCUCCGCGUCCACGUGUAAGAUCUCUAUAAAAAACCCCUCCCCAACCCAGGCAAGCCAUUCGGGGCUGGGUUACCGAGCAGAGAGGGUGGUUCGCGCUGCGCUGGGAAUCAAGCCGCCUGCAUUGAGGGGAGAGAGGGCUAAGUGUUCUGGGGGUUGGGUCUGUUAAGGGCUGGCUGUUGUUGCUGACUGGAUAUUGUGUGUUUUUUGGCGGGGGGGGGGGGGGAAUUGGCUUGGGGCUUGUGGGAUCUGGCAGAGUCCUUGCUGUGGCUUUAGGCAAUUUUUAUUUUUAAAAGGACGUGGGCGCCAAGGCAUUGCUUUCCUGAUGCUCCAUUUCUAAAGACCUCUGCCUUUUUUUUGAAUUUAGCAAUCACUAGAUCAGCCCUUCUUAGCAAUCCUAAAGGGGGGGGGACAUUGGAAGUUAGAGUUUCCAAAGGACGUGUGCUUUCCUGCAAGGGCAGUGCUUGGGGUCCUCUCCUUUUCUACUCCAAAGACCCUCUGCCUUUUAUUUGAUUUUUGCAAUCUCUAGAUCAGCCCUUCAUAGCAAUCCUAAAAGAGGGGGACAUUGGAAGUUAGAGUUUCCAAAGGACGUGUGCGUUCCUGUGAGGGCAUUGCUUCCCUCACGCUCCGUUUGUAAUCCCAAGCCCCCGGGCUGAGUGUUAUUGCAUCAAUCACAAAGACACACAUUGUUUUCAAACCUAAAAGGGUACAUUGGAAGAAAUAGUUUCCCAAGGACAUUGCCAAUCCUGUCAAGGCAUUUCUUGACGUGUGCUGCAUUUCUAAUCCAAAGUCUACACAAGUAGAAGAGGGACUUUCACAGUAAUAAGAACCCAAUUGAACAGGAAAUAAGACUUUCAAACCAGGAACAGGUUUCUUCAAAUAUUGAAAAAUAGUGUAUUAUAAAAAGUUAUGAAAAUUCACCAAAAAUCAUAGGAGACAGGAAACUUUCUGCAAUUUGUUGAGCAAAGAGUGUUGAAUGUGAUCUCCCACUGUACCAAAUUUGAUGAGGAUAGCACAAGAAAUGAGGGCGGUUUCCUUUUUUAUUUUUUUUUGGCGAUUGCGCAUGCGCGUCUACCAUUUUAGAAACAUUAAGAAUCAUUACGAAUUUUCGGAAAUAUCUGGAAUUUUUGGGUGAAACAUUCGGAAAUACUUUCUAUAUCGAAGCGCCGGCACCCCCUACUUUAGAAAUGAGAAUUGAAACAUUUUUUCCAUCGAUCGGACAAGCCUAGUAAGGACUAUUUGAGGGCAGAAGCAAGGAAACGUUAAUAACAAAACCUCAAUGGCAAAGUAUUUGUUUAACAUACAGUCAGCCCUCCACAUUUGCUGGGGUAAGGGGCACAAAACCAUCAUAAAAGUGGGAAAAACAUGAAUAAAAAUAACACCUGAGAUAACUCCUCUCUGGGAAUCUAUAGGCCCUCUAACAUGAUUCCAUAGUUGACUUUUGUCAACUCUAGGUCCUCCAGUGUGAUUUUAUGGUCAAUCUCAGGUGAAAAUUGAAUAUAGAGUUUCUCUAUGAGACCUAGAGAUAAUUAGAUAAAACAUUUAAUCAAAUUCUCAAAAGCCAAGCCUGCAAAUGCAGAGAGCCAACUGUAGCUAUCUUAUCUGCUGGAUAUUUGAGAGGUAUGGGAAAUGUAAGCUGAGACGACAGCUUUGAUUCUUCAGAUGGGCUCAUUUAUCAGGCGAUUAAUUGCAGCAUGGAUUAUUUCCAUCUUUCAGAUAAGAUUCUCUGUUUCCAUGGGGAAACCAAAUCAGAAAUAGGAAACGCUAGCAGAAAAGGGGACUGAAAGGAUGUUACUUGCCUAUAUUCCUUCCUAUACAAUCCUGAGAUUUGAAGUUUGGUGUUAUUUGAAUACUCUUCUCUGACACACAAGUUCAAGGGGUGUGAACCAGGGCAGCGGUUCUCAAAUUCAGUUUCCCAGAUAUUAGUGAACUAUAAUCUCAGAGGUCCUAGCUAGAGUUUAUGGGAUUUGCAGAUGUGGCUGGUUACUUUUAUACCAGUGGGACAGUGAAUCCAUCCCAAGAUCAAUUGCAUUAAAGGAUUCUCUGCAAGCUGUGUAAUUUUUUCCCAAUAUUUUUUCAACAGCUCUAAAACUCCAGGAAUUUAGCAAUAGAAAUUUUCCCCAUCACUCAUUUCUUUAUCAGGAAAGCUUCACCUUUGAAAUUUCUGUGUAUCUCCACAGUUGAAGAAACGGGACAGUCCAGGAGACGAAUGUUACCAUAUCUUUUUAACAAAUGCUUUAUACACAACUAGUUAAUGUGGAGUAGAGCUCACAUAUGCUUUCUUUCUUGGCUUGAUAAGCCAUCAGAGCAAGGUUUUGUGAUUGCACUGAACAAAGUCUAAAGUCUGUCAACUAAAUCCAUCUCAACCAGGGUAUAAUCCCCAGGGGCAAAGGAGUAAUUUUCAUUUUACCUCAGAUCUCCAAUAGGUCCCCACUUGCCUACAGUCCAAGUGCUAUGUAUUUGAAGAGAAUGUAUAUGCCUAUAGUCCAAUUCAAACAUAUACUUACAGUCAUUGGUUCUUCAAAGAAUCCAUCUUAAAAGUUUGUUUCAAAACACGUCUUGUAUAAGUAUGCCACUAUGUUUCUUAAUAUGCUAUUACCAUAUAUAUUCGAGUAUAAGCCGAGUUUUUCAGCUCUUUAGGGCUGAAAAAACACGCCUCAGCUUAUACUCGAGUAAGAGUCCUGGCCGGCUUAUAUUUGAGUCAGCUCAAACUCAGGUAUAUAGGUAAUCAGAGUUGAACAGUCUUAUCUUAUUAAAGUGUUGUUGUUGUUGUUGUUGUUGUUGUUGUUGUUAUUAUUAUCUUAAAUUACAGUUUUAUGUAAAUAUAUAUAAAAAACAUUUAACCUA